rnacentral:rRNA from 1 species
UACGUAGGGUGCAAGCGUUGUCCGGAAUUAUUGGGCGUAAAGAGCUCGUAGGCGGUUUGUCGCGUCUGCUGUGAAAACUCGGGGCUUAACUCCGGGCCUGCAGUGGGUACGGGCAGACUAGAGUGCGGUAGGGGAGACUGGAAUUCCUGGUGUAGCGGUGAAAUGCGCAGAUAUCAGGAGGAACACCGAUGGCGAAGGCAGGUCUUGGGCCACUACUGACGCUGAGAAGCGAAAGCGUGGGGAGCGAACAGG